AGCUUGCAUAUUGCCAAAUGUGAAGGUGGCACAAUGUUCCUGUGAAGGCACAAACUUCACUGUGGUUCCAGGGCGUUUUGACUUGCAUCUGCCAAUAUAUAUUUGCCAAACAUGCCAGCAUCAGUGGACCCCUGACUUGAAAGACCUACCUAGGAGUGGAUAUUGGCCUGGCUCAGUGACCAGUUCAACAUUUUAUACUCUGGACCUCCUGAGCUCCUUUCAGGAACUCAAAGUCAUCUCUCCAGGAUUCUCCAGGCAAGCCUUCGCAAAGCUGCUGGAGCAUCGCACUAAGAUUGGAGGAGGAGUAAGACUGUUACCAGACAAAACAAAUCCUGUAGAUCUGAAAAUACUGGACAAAUUAACGGCGAUACACUACAGUGCAGCUUCUUAGAUUAUCCAUAUGCUUCAUUAGAGGAAGACCAGCUCUGCUGUAGGGCACCGUUCACCUGCCCAGCCUGCAUGCCAGAAAUGUUGGCUGUUUCAGCAGAUGGAAACAAAAAACUUUAUCGCUUUCGC